GGAGGGUGCGAGCGUUAAUCGGAAUUACUGGGCGUAAAGCGCGCGCAGGCGGCUGGGUCAGUCGGAUGUGAAAGCCCCGGGCUUAACCUGGGAAUUGCAUUCGAUACUGCCCGGCUAGAGUAUGGGAGAGGGAAGUGGAAUUUCCGGUGUAGCGGUGAAAUGCGUAGAUAUCGGAAGGAACACCAGUGGCGAAGGCGGCUUCCUGGCCCAAUACUGACGCUCAGGUGCGAAAGCGUGGGGAGCGAACAGGGAUUAGAUACCCUGUAGUCCACGCUGUAAACGAUGAGAACUAGAUGUUGGGAGGGUUAGCCUCUCAGUGUCGCAGCUAACGCGUUAAGUUCUCCGCCUGGGAGUACGACCGCAAGGUUG
rnacentral:rRNA from 1 species